GAGUUUUUUUAAAUGGGGCUUAGCUACAGAUUGAUACCUACAAUAAAGAUUGAGUUUUUUUUUCUUUUUUAAAUCCACUUAUAAAUCUCAUAGAUCAAUAAGUGUUCAGGCCAGUGACAUUUUCAGAAUAUAACAGAGAGACUUUCAAAUUCAAUAGAUAUAAUAUAGGAUUAAAGAUUCCAUUUAAGCAUUUACCUUGAGCAUUCAAGUACCAUUGACGCAGACAAGGGGUUGAAUGUCCUCACUGUCAACCAUUUUCUACUUUCUGCAAACAAACAAUAAACAUACACACCAAUUUGACAUAAACAAAAAUAUAUAUC
rnacentral:lncRNA from 1 species